UACGUAGGGUGCAAGCGUCAUCCGGAAUUAUUGGGCGUAAAGAGCUCGUAGGCGGUUUGUCGCGUCUGCCGUGAAAGUCCGGGGCUCAACUCCGGAUCUGCGGUGGGUACGGGCAGACUAGAGUGAUGUAGGGGAGACUGGAAUUCCUGGUGUAGCGGUGAAAUGCGCAGAUAUCAGGAGGAACACCGAUGGCGAAGGCAGGUCUCUGGGCAUUAACUGACGCUGAGGAGCGAAAGCAUGGGGAGCGAACAGG
rnacentral:rRNA from 1 species